GAUGAACGCUGGCGGCGUGCCUAAUACAUGCCAGUCGAGCGAACGGACGAGAAGCUUGCUUCUCUGAUGUUAGCGGCGGACGGGUGAGUAACACGUGGAUAACCUACCUAUAAGACUGGGAUAACUUCGGGAAACCGGAGCUAAUACCGGAUAAUAUUUUGAACCGCAUGGUUCAAAAGUGAAAGACGGUCUUGCUGUCACUUAUAGCUGGAUCCGCGCUGCAUUAGCUAGUUGGUAAGGUAACGGCUUACCAAGGCAACGAUGCAUAGCCGACCUGAGAGGGUGAUCGGCCACACUGGAACUGAGACACGGUCCAGACUCCUACGGGAGGCAGCAGUAGGGAAUCUUCCGCAAUGGGCGAAAGCCUGACGGAGCAACGCCGCGUGAGUGAUGAAGGUCUUCGGAUCGUAAAACUCUGUUAUUAGGGAAGAACAUAUGUGUAAGUAACUGUGCACAUCUUGACGGUACCUAAUCAGAAAGCCACGGCUAACUACGUG
rnacentral:rRNA from 1 species